rnacentral:tRNA from 1 species
GCACCAGUAGCUCAGACUCAGAGCGUUGGUCUUGUAAGCCAAAAGUCGGGGGUUUGACUCCCUCCUGUUGCU